UUGAGAGAGGGCUUGAAGGUUAAUUUGAGCACAUCAUAUACUAAUAUUGAUUCUUAGAUAUUAUUUAUUGUUUCCUUUUAUUUAGUGUAAUUGAAAUUUAUUUCAUGUAAACUAUUUGAAUUUUAAUAAUCUAUAAUAGAAUAUAUAUGGAUAUAAUUUAUGUAUUUUAUAUUAAAGAAGGGGGUCUUCGGGCAUCGUCCGAGUUCUUCAGAGUGAUCUUCUCCAGGUAUGGAGUAGCCAUAAUUUUGUCACGUUUACUGAGUAUAUUGUAAUGUUUCUUUUGUCGUUCUGCUUAUAUGUUCCAGAAGUCCUAAAUAUCUACCAAAGCCUCAUAUAUUAGUUAUGCUAAAUUACUUAGCAAUGUUAUCUUGAAUGUGAGAAGGAGU
rnacentral:lncRNA from 1 species